GACGUAGGGCGCGAGCGUUGUCCGGAUUUAUUGGGCGUAAAGAGCUCGUAGGCGGCUUGUUGCGUCGACCGUGAAAACCCGGGGCUCAACUUCGGGCUUGCGGUCGAUACGGGCGGGCUAGAGUUCGGUAGGGGAGACUGGAAUUCCUGGUGUAGCGGUGAAAUGCGCAGAUAUCAGGAGGAACACCGGUGGCGAAGGCGGGUCUCUGGGCCGAUACUGACGCUGAGGAGCGAAAGCGUGGGUAGCAAACAGG
rnacentral:rRNA from 1 species